rnacentral:rRNA from 1 species
ACGGAGGGUGCGAGCGUUAAUCGGAAUCAUUGGGCGUAAAGCGCACGUAGGCGGUGGCGUAAGUCGGAUGUGAAAGCCCUCGGCUCAACCGGGGAACUGCAUUCGAUACUGCGAUGCUUGAGUGCCGGAGAGGGUGGCGGAAUUCCAGGUGUAGGGGUGAAAUCCGUAGAUAUCAGGAGGAACACCGGUGGCGAAGGCGGCUUUCUGGCCGGAAACUGACGCUGAGGUGCGAGAGCGUGGGGAUCAAACAG